AUGCAGGCAGGAGUCGGUCUACUUGGCUUGGACGUGAUGCCUAUAUACAUGAUCAUACCUACAUAUUCUCAUAACUAUGCUCAAUUCUGUCAAUUGCUCAACAGUAAUUUGUUCACCCACCGUAAAAUACUUAUGCUCUUGAGAGAAGCCACUAGUGAAACCUAUGGCCCCCGGGUCUAUCUUCAUCAUAUUCAUCUUCCAAAACUUAGUUAUUUUCAUUGCCUUUAUUUUACUUUGCAUCUUUAUCAUAAAAAUACCAAAAAUAUUAUCUUAUCAUAUCUAUCAGAUCUCACUCUCAUAAGUGACCGUGUAGGGAUUGACAACCCCUUAUCGCGUUGGUUGCGAGGAUUUAUUUGUUUUGCGCAAGUGCGAGGGAUUCAUGCAUAG
rnacentral:rRNA from 1 species